AACCUUAUGGACCUGCGGGCGUAUACCUGCGGAGGGAUCAUUACACAAUACAAUAUGAAGGCUGUCCGCAGCUGGAGUAUUUUAUUACCCUUGUCUUUUGCGCACUUGUUGUUUCCUGGGCGGGUUCGCUCGCCACCAGGACCACCAAAUAAACCUUUUUUAUGCAGUUGCAAUCAGCGUCAGUACAAACAAUGUAAAUCAUUUACAACUUUCAACAAUGGAUCUCAGAUCGGAAGAGCA
rnacentral:misc_RNA from 1 species